CUAAGGCCUCAACUGUCAGGUUGAAAGCUGUCGUCCAUGACUGAUGUCAGCUUGGCAAACAUCCUCCUCUAAUCCACCUCCUCAGUGGAGUUCAGGACAGAGCUGGUCCUCCUGAUCAGGACUUCCCUCUGAUGUUUUCUGUCACUUCAUCAUGGAUCAGAUCAGAUUAAACAUCCUGCUCAGAACUAUUGUUUUACAGUGCUUCAUCACGACGAAUGUGUUUUCCAAUCAGAAACAAGAAUGGAUUGAUACUCCAACAGCAACAUUAACAGAAGAGGAUGUGACGUGUUUCUCUGAAUACAUGGAGCUGUGGAUUCACAGCUCAAGAAUCGAAGGGCUCGGAGUCUGGCUCUCUGGGGCUUUACAGAUCCAAGGUAAACCUGCCUGACUCAUAAAUGCUAAAAUAUUCACAUACAUUUUAAAAAAAAAAUCUUUGUGUCAUCUCUUUUUUUUCCCACAAGCCAACCUGGCAUCUUUGGAUCACCUGAACCUCCAGCUGUCUGCUUGUGGAUUCUCUCUGUACAAAGACCCCAACAACAACUUCAUUUUUACAGUCAGCUACACUGGAUGUUUGGUCCAGCAACAGCACGGCUUUAAUGUCCUCACACUGAAUCUGGUGAAACGGAUGACUCGAUUCAGAGGAAGGCCUCACAGUUUGGUCAUGAAGUGUCCCGUAGUUUCAAUCCAGAGCCGAGAGAAAAUCCAGUGUGACCCUGAGUAUAUUCAGGUGAUCAGACAAGUUCCCCAUGGAAACUGGGAUAAUGAGCUGCCCUGGUCUCUGUCUCUGAGCGACCACCUCAUUGUAGCGCUGGAAGAUGCCAGUUUGAUCCAGAUGAACGUCGACGUGACCGCAGAAGACAUCACAGUUCAGGGCAGGAGGAGGGAGAUCUUAAGUCCAGUCAAAAUAAUGGAACAUGAGGGGGAAUUUUUGGCCUUGAAGCUGGUCAGGGGUCAGUUUGCCUACAGCAUGGAAGCCACAUGUCCAAAAGGGAAAUAAAGAUUUGUUGUUCCAAUAUGUGGCAUCUCUACAACAGAAUGGAAGUCAUGAAACAGCUAAGUACGCUUUACAUUGUGAAUGGUAAUGAGCAGAUGAACAGUGUGGUCAUAUGCAAUUACAAGUCGGUAACAAGACACUCAGAGUUAAUGAGGUUGUCUGUGCUGCUUGUUGAAUGUUGUCCUGCUCUUCCUGAAGGACUUGAUGAAGUUGGUGGGAGGCAGGAUCCCAUUGUUGGACACGUUCAUCCAGAAUAUUCCAUGUGAAACCAUUUGUUAGAUGACAGACGUUGGGCUUGUGCACAUUCAAGUGUACUGUCUAUAGCUCUGACCUGCCAACAUCCAAUUUAUUAACAGUCUAUUCUCAUCUUUCUCUUGUCUUCUUGUGUCAUUUGAAUAAAACCAUAUUUUUAAGGUGGCCUUUUACAGUCGCUGGUCACACCAUCUGAUCAUUUAAUGCUAGUCAGGUAUGGAUUAACUCAAUACCUGAGAAUUUUUCACCUAUAAACACUUUUUUUUGCACAAAUGUCUGAUUGUAACCCUUUUCUAACCAAAACAAGAUAAAUUAUAUUUUUGUUUUACUUUUUUUGUAAGUCACAAAAGAAGAAAUUUUUUAUGCUGCAUUUAUGUUCUUGUUCAGGCCUGCACUUAUCUAUCUAUCUAUCUAUCUAUCUAUCUAUCUAUCUAUCUAUCUAUCUAUCUAUCUAUCUAUCUAUCUAUCUAUCUAUCUAUCUAUCUAUCCAUCCAUCCAUCCAUCCAUCCAUCCAUCCUUGGUUCAGUCAAGCUUCUUCUAAAGCAGGGGUGUCAAAGUCAUUUUGGUCCAGGCAAGAUUACAAGUAAUCUUCUCAACCUGUGUGCGGAGGGGUCACACGUAAGGUCUGCCGACCGGUACCGGAGCGCCGGAGUUCCGACCUGGCCCGGGGAAUACAGCUGCAAUAUCAAAAAAUACUCCAAAAAUUAUGCCCUACAUCACUACAGCACCUGUUUGAUCAAACUGCAGCUCCCACAUUGUCAGCUAGGGGCGCUCUGUCUCAUUCGGAGCGGGCAGCACCAUAGAUAUAUACAUCUAUAUCUAUGGGCAGCACCGCGACUCGGCGCUUGCGGCGGGUGGCAGCAAUACGGAAGCCGGGCCUGCCAGUGGCGUUCUGUCUGUUGGAGUUCCGCCUGCUUUUCUGCAGGCCCUGACGCGCUCAUCAGUAAGACGUCUUUGUCAACAAAGAAAAAAGUGGACAUGGAGUGUUGGGGUUUCCAAGACAGAUGGACCACUUCCUGUUCGUUCACUGUCAACUGUCAGUCGACUGUGUUCUUAAAUCAGUGGCCAUCGGACAAACUCGAUCAGCAACUGUAUUUCUACUGAAGCUUAUAUUUGCCAACAUUUUCCAAUCUGCUCUAUCAACAAGCUAGAACUCGAUUUUAACCUUGUGGGACUUUAAAAUGAAAUCAUCUAAGAAGUUUGGAGGUGUCCCAGGUAGAUACUGCUGUUUUGUAAGAGGUCACAAGCCACUGAUAUAGUGUUUAAUCUUGAAUCGUAUUGCAUGAGUUAAUCAUGAGUGUUCUUCAUGUUUUUAACUGAGCACAUAAUCUGUAAAGUAAAGGUACUGUAUCUGCUGAGCAAGUGUAGUGGUUUAAAGAGUGUAAUAUUUGUUUCUCAAAUGUAGUGAAGUAGGUGCAUAAAGUAGCAUUAAACCUGAAAAUAGUAGGAUCUUGGUAACUAAUUUUGUAUCUGAUGUACAUUUAAGUGAUUCCAACCGGAGCAGAGAUGACUGUGCUGCAUAUUUUCAAGCGCUGCAUGGGUUUGACCAAACGAGGCAGGUCUUCCAGUGAAGCUCUGACUGUCAGCGAUGUGUCCGUUAACCAGACAGAAAACUUCACCGUGAACGAAACGAGUCAAUUUGUGACUCUGACUCUUCCCACAGCACAAAUACUCCAAUACAAGCCCUGCACGGACAGCAAACAGCUCGUGCAGCCGUUCUACAGGGCGGAUGUUGUGCUCACCUUCAAAGAGACAAAUCACAAAAUGCACUGGAGCAUGGAGAACACACUGCCAUGCGUAGCUCGGCCUGAUGACACGUCGUCACACAUCACAUCUUCUCCUGGUCCAAACAUCUCAGAUCUGUCCAGGCUCAACCUCAGACACAAGAAUGUAACUACAGGAGCCCCGUUCUUGGACUCGUCCGCCGUCCCCAAAGAGAAACCAAAUCCCAGAGACUCAUUUAAAGGGAACACUGCAGGGUUUUCCUCAACUGAUUCUCCUCACACACAGACAGAUGUCAGCACUUUUAAUUUUAACACUGAUGAGAUUCCAGAGAGUCGAAGCGGAAACGGAUCCUCCAGGUUUGAUAAUGACACCGUCGCCUCCAUUAAUGCGACGGAAAUAAGCUUUUUUGAUUUUCUACAUGCAGCCACAAAUACCUCAGCAGAGCCGGAGUUACUUGAAACAAAAGCAACAGCAGAAGCAUCCACAGUGUCUUUAACUGCACUGCUUCCACCUGAACAACAGUUCAACACAAGCGCCAGGAAUGAAGACCAGCAAAAGCAGAGAAGACUGAGGGGAUUUGGAAGAACUAGCAACCUGACGAUAUUUGUAGUAUUGUCACAACUCUCUUAUCCAGUGCAACGGCUGCAGCAAGCAACCCUUUUCAGUGUAUUUUAGUACUACUUGCGUGUUUUUUUAGGUGUCAGCUUCACUUUAGAUUAACUUCAACAUAAAAAAUAUAAUUCAUAUCGUAAUAGUGAAAAACUUAUGUUGAAAAAGAAAAUUUCCAUCAUAAAAAGCAUGACAUGACUUUUAAAAAAUGCAUUUUUCUCCUUUCUUUGUUUAUUUCAUGUUUUCUAAGUCUUACUAGACUUGAUUUACAGUUUUAGUGUAGUGCCAGACUUUUUAUUUGGCUUGACAAUGAGAAACAAUAUUGGCAAUACCAGAAGAACCCAUGAACCCAGGCAAAAUGGUUAAAACUAGAAAACCUGCUGUAUGAUUUACUAGAGAAGUUGUAGUGAUUAACAAAGAUUUUUAGCUUGGCACCAUAUUAUGUUUGAGGACUGAAAUGAAAAACAAAACAAAAAAACGAUGUGUUCAGACAUCAUAAUAAAAACAAAACUACAACAUAAUGUGAAGGAAGCAAAUCUGUCACAACUCUCCUCUAUGAAUAAGAACAUUAAUAGAAAGAUAUCAUCCUUCCUAUUAACUAGACAACUACUUUUGUAUAACAAAAGGCUCAUUACCAACAGCUUUGAUUAGAUAAAUGUGUAUAAAUAUAGAGAAAGGAUCGCAGUGGUCCAUUUUAACUUCAUUUCAAGAAUAAGGUUUUCAGUUUAUGCUGAUCUUGACUCAUUGUGGGCCGACAUGCUCAUGAGACAAAGUGGGAUUAAAGGAGUGCUGCUAUGUGUAAGGGAGGAUGAAACAUUCAAGUAGUAAAUAGUAUUGUAAAUCAAGCUCUCUGUAGUACAGUACAUUACUAUUGUAGUGGGAAUAUUGCAUGAUCAGCAUCAAGUUCUAGAAACAUAUUAAGAAGGCUCUGCAGUUCAAGCGAUGUUUUGUUUUCAGCAGGAAGUAGUUUGUUUGGUUCCCAGAAUGUUCUCCUUAAAGGCAGGAUGUUGUCUAAAGACAUUCUGAAAAUGAUUUCCCUUAAACAUUUGCUGGAUGUUACUCUGAGGACAUUCCUCCUUUGUUAUCAUGUAACAUUGUGAUGAUGUUUUAUGGGUUUUAUAGCACUGUGGAACAUUGUGAGAACGUUUUAUAGAUGCAGGGUUUGGAAGCAGAGUGGUCUAAUCAACCUUCUGUAGUUUUUGUGUUUUCAAGAAUGGUCUACCAUUGGAAACGUCACUCUAACACUAUAUUUGGAUUUAGACCACUUGACCACGAAAAUCUAGACCACAAAAUGUUACAGGAAUGAUAUAAAACUCUAGCCUAGCCGCGCUAGACCCAUGCUCUGAAGACACAAGGGUCAAGGCACACUCGACAGGGAGGGAGGCGGGCUAAAAGGUUGUCUAUCAAAUCACUCUGCAGCAAUUGGGUAGGUAUACAACCAAUCAGCGCAACGAAUAGGCUCCUAGAGUGCCGGAAAUCAGAGGAUGCGGUAGUUCGGUGAAGCCUUAUUUAUACAGUCAAUGGGUGAAGCUCAAGUAUAUUACAGACAUGUUAACAGAAAGAUUAUUCAGAGUCGGUGCUAAUGGAGCUCAACGACUGUUGUUUUUGUUGUCGACCCUGGCAGAGAAUUAAAUUCGUUGCCGUGGGUUGUCUAGCGCGGCUAGGCUAGUUGUUUCCUGUUGUUUCUGUCAGAAUCGUCGCGCCUCUGUCGUCAUUUAGUUACGCCCGCCUUCUGACUCUACACUUCAUGGUGAUUCGUCCGGCCAGUUUUAGGAGCAUCCAACCUCGAGCCUUAUGGAGGGUAACUAGACCCACCCUGGCAGAGAAUUAAAUUCGUUGCCGUGGGUUGUCUAGCGCGGCUAGGCUAAUAAAACUCAGUUCGACCACUCUGCUUCUAACCCUCUCAGAUUCUGUAAUGUGUUCCUUCAACAACUUCUCCAAAACAUCCCCAAAAUAUUGCAGGGAAAAUGUUCCACCUUUGUUGAUAUGUCACAUAUCAAACAUUUUGUAAAAUAAUUGAGGCCUCCAAAACAUCCGAAAAACUUUUUUUUUUGUUAUUGUUAUGUUUCAGUUCACUUUUAACAUUAAAGGAACAUGAUUUGAAAGGUAAAUGUCCUUAAGACAUUCUUUAAUCAUUAGGAUCUAAGGUUUUUUGUUAAAAUAUUACUAGAACUUGUAAGCAAUGUUAGCCAAUGAUGUGGGAACGUUCCCUGCUUGCUGGGAAGGCCUUCUGAUUCUUUUAUUGUAGUUUACAUCGGUGCCACAUGCUUAGCGUCUGUUUGCAGUUGUGAAAAGGUGACGCGUUGGUCAGCGAAGGUUGAUUAUACAAGCAGAAAUACAGACAGACCUCUGCCAGCUAUUGCCUGAGGUUAGAUGUUAUCCAGACACAGGGAAGGCAGCCGUUAAAUAAACAUGUCUCUAUCUGAGCGGCACAACAGGCUGAUGAAGUGAAGACCCUGCAGUAGUUUCAGUUGAUGCCACCCUUCAGAGAAGCUGCCUUGAGCUACUGAAACUCAUAAUGAAGACUUAUUUUUUUGAUAAGUCAGACUAUCUGUUUGUCAGUGAUGAUUCGUAGACUUGAGAUGAGAUUUAAGCUUUACAAACAUGUACCUUUACUCACUUACAAAUACAGAACGUGUCUGAAUAAGCAUUGUUUAAGCUGCAGAGUUGCUGCUUUGUGUAUUUUGCUGCAGUACACUGAACCACCAGGAGAGGGCACUAUUGAAUAUGUUUUCAGAAACCUCUCUUGAUGAGCUGCAGGCUGCCUCCAGAUGAUCUUUUCCAAAUUAACCAGUUAUGUAUGUUUUUGUUGUGAACUUACAUUCAGUCAUCGAGCCUGGUUUCUAAACUGUACACUUAUCAUGAAAUAACUCUGGAAAAUCCAACAUGUAGUCGAGAGGUUGAGUUUAAUUGACCAUGUUUACCAGUGAAGUCAAUUAGUAGCUUUAAAAAUUACAAACUUAAGUAUAAUCUGUGCAUAAUCACAGGUGUGGAUCAGAAUAUGUUGACUGAAAUGGCUCGAGAUGUUUCACUUUUGUUUCUUUUCACCUUUGUUAUUGUGACCUCCCGGCAUGCACCAAAGCGUCUGUAAAUGAUAACAGUGCAGUGUUACGCAGUUACAUGCAUCAUAUACAAUGGGCUGUGGGGCAGAAAAUCUAAACUUCCUUGUGCCUUUGGUUCCCAUCUGCUCAGUGAACUUAUGAGCAGGAAAUGGAAUAAGUGGUGCAAAAAGCACGCCAACAUCCCCGUUCUUUCAUGUGGCCUCUCUCGGCCAUUACCCCUAUCUGUAUCGACUGUUAACUGUCUUUACAAAGUUAAAAAAUCCCUUUCAUGUU